UCUCGAUUGGUCUAGUGGCUAGGAUACCUGCUUGUCACCAGUCAUCUAGUUCCCAGUUCACGGGACCUGAGACUUGUAGCAUACCGCAGGUGGCCGGGGUUCGAUUCCCCGAUCGAGAG